rnacentral:rRNA from 1 species
GUUGUAUGGUUAAGUGACUAAGCGUACACGGUGGAUGCCUUGGCAGUCAGAGGCGAUGAAGGACGUAUUAACUUGCGAUAAGCCCAGAUUAGGCAGUAAAAGCCACUUGAGUCUGGGAUUUCCGAAUGGGGAAACCCACUUACAUAAGUAAGUAUCCUGUUGUGAAUACAUAGCAACAGGAGGCGAACCGGGGGAACUGAAACAUCUAAGUACCCCGAGGAAAAGAAAUCAACCGAGAUUCCGAAAGUAGCGGCGAGCGAAAUUGGACUAGCCCUUAAGCUUUACACACGUUAGACGAACGGUCUGGAAA